GCUCCAGAGGGCGCGGCUGAAGCGCGGGAUGGAGCGGGCGCAGCGGCUAGGGAAGCGCGCGAAGCGGCUGCAGGCGGAGGUGCGGUGGCGGCUCGAGCGGGAGCGGCGGAGGCUGCUGCCGCGGGGCCGGCGGCGGAGGGGCAGGAGGCCGGAGCGGCGGACGGAGGCGCUCCAGGGGCGCGAGAAGAAGUUCCUCCUGAAGCGCGAGCUCCUCCCCCGGUGGAAGCUCCGGCGGACGGGCGAGCGGCUCGGGCGGGACGUCCUCGCGGAGCCGGUCGUGGACCUGCAGCAGCUCCGCGUGGAGCAGGUCCUCUAGCGCGCGGCGAGGCUCAGGAAGAUGCUCCGCGUCCCGGCCGAGGCGCCGGACCUGCCCCUCUAGCAACGGCGGCAGCCCUCCUAGGCCCUCGAGUCCCUCCAGCAGGCCCACGAGUGCCCGCUGGAGCAGCCCCUGCGGGUCGUCCACGUCCUCGAGUUACGGUGGGCUCCCUUGGAGCAGCGGAACGUCCUCUUCGAGUGGUAGUAGGAGAUACAGUCAGUCCGAGAGCGUCGGGAGUUCGACGAACACGAUCGCCGUCUAACACGACCACGCGAACUACAGUAACUACUGAACGUUUUAGAGUAUCUGUGACUACUUGAACGCCCCGAAAUAACGAAAGCCGUAUAAGCACUAGUCAACCCUUGUAGUAAUCUAAGUCACUUGUCGUAAGAAAGUCGUCUCAAACAUGCCCGACGACAAGGACUACCUUUUUGACAACUACGCUACCAAAAUAGUUGACACUUUUCCUUCUGAAGAUGAGGGGAGUUACCCUGGCUCGUACUUCAUUUGCAACUACUCCUCCUACCGAAGUAGGAGUCUCUAGCAGAAGAGGGGGAGUAAUAAACGGACGACUCUUGCCUGUUUCAAGGACGUCACGAGUCUUACAUGGCCCUAUGGGAAUAAUGACAAUACUUUCGAAGUUAGUUUAGGUGUCAACGUCUCUACGAAGGUCAGAACUAAAGGUUUGGUUAUCUAAGACUAAGUCAUUGACCUCUGUCUCGACGGCUAAGACUACGACCUCCGGUCAGAAAUCGUUUAUUUGACGCAUCAGAUAGUAGACUUCCCAAACAAGUCGAAAAUAGCCGAUAAAAAUCAUAUCAAGUCCAUGUAGAGGUCGUUCGUCGACUUCAAUUUUUUUAUCAAGUCACCUAGUACGCUUUGGAACUACCCUUGUAUUCAGGACUACUGUCUUUAGGACAGCAUGUUGUACCACCGAGUCAACUAGAAAGGGUUCUCUUUCUGAUACUACAAUGAAGUGCCCAGAGAUUAUGACAAUGUGCGUGCGGAUGAUUCGAAGGCAACAAAGUUCCUUUCUGUUUACUAUACAGGUCAUAUUUAAGUUAUUUUUUAUAAGCUCGACUACACAACUCUCUUUCGUGUCUUCGUCACAAACGACGUACACUACGACGUGUACCUGCUACCCGAUUCGACGAUCCACAAGCACGACGAGAUGUAGGGUUCAAUUCCGAAGUCCUCAAGGACUAGUAGAUAUUAUAUUGUCUUCUCAAAUAUCGACGAUGUCUUUUCCAACCUCCGUCCAAUCCAAUGUUGUAAGCGCCUUAAGAUGUCGUUGUCAGUUUCGUUAAACAACUCAUAGUCGUAUCACAAGCCUACCGUUUUUAAUUCCGUCAAGAACUGGUUCUCUGCACCUAACGACAACUACAAGGACUUCUCAAGGUUCGCUAACAAGACAGUGACAGUAGUUGACUGAAAGGACAAUUACCGUACCUCUACGGAUCGUUACUAUUGUUGAGUUUCGAGUCACUCCUACCCCAAAGUUGUUCAGUUCUUAGUCGUGUAAGUUGACUUUUAUUACAACUUUUAUCGUUACCCUGUAGAUGCUGUUCGUUACUUUUGUUCCAACUUAGGUGAAGAGUCUGACUUUUAUCACAACGACCGGUACAAUCCGGUCAGCGCGUUUGGUAACACGAACCUCCACAACCGAUAGUAUACCACUUGACGCCAAACUAUAACAACUUUUACGAUAGUCUUAUACAACUGUAGUCAUUUACAAACGGUAGCAAUAGAAAACUCCACCAGGUUGCACAACAACUCUAUAAUUUCGUAAAGUUAUGGUCCUGAACGGUUGACCAAGAACCGCGUCCACGGUACGUCCAUAGACCAGACUUUAGUUAAUGAAGAUUCGUAAAUCGAAAUCGUUCAGUUUAAUAGUCAAAGUAUGUAAGAAACUAAGGUCUAUAAGCAGCUCAUGAAAAGGACUUUUAUGGCCUUCGUGCGUUUGUAGACAACUACAGACUUGACCUAUCUCAAUGAGUCCUGAUAUUCCAAGUAGCUCUACUUUAAGUGUGGUUCGAUCAGGUCUAUUACUCUCUCUCUAACGAUCGUUUAGAAUCUUUUAAUGGCGUUUAGUACCUCUCAACCUUACCUGGUCUACUAUUACUAAGCGUCGGUUCAGAUAAGCGGUUUCGACAAUGUUUCCUUCAGUGAAUGAACGUAGCGUAGGAAAGAGUUUAUGACGAACUCCAUCUAGACGUUCGCUAUAAGUCCGUUCAUCAGGUCUAUAAGGUAAGGGUAUAGUGUCUUCGUAAAAGUUUCAACCUUUAGUCAUCAGGAGUCCGUUUCUUGUCUAAUACAGCUCUACAAGUUGUAUAAGAACAUACAUAAGCUUUCAACGGACGAGUCUUGAAGUCGAGUCUUGGACAAGCUUUAAUACCAGAAGAACUGCUCAAGAACCGACUCUUCAAGCCCUGUUUUCAACUGCCCACUAACUGUACAUGUAAUCCUUGACUGAGGACAGACGUUUACAAGUCACCACCAUUUAUACCAUUUACACUUCAAUAGUUUCUGUGGUGACAACCGUAUUUUAGGAUACGUCCAUAACGACGCCUCCCAUAGCCUUUGUCUCGCGAGAACUACCGUUACUUAAUGGUACAGUUAUGUAGGUUAUCGCGAAACACCCUAGUGUACGGUUACCAAAAGGUGUGGACUGGAUUCGGCUUUAAAAACGUGGCAUGAAGGCCGUACAAUCCGGCGCAAAGUAGAAAACGAAUAAGACUAUCAUAAAGUUGGGAAAAACACCCUUUUCGACUAUAACCAAUCUACAACCCAUAUCUUCUCGGUAUCUCCCUUGGACUGUUUCUGUAAAAGCCGUCGUGCUGGGUAAGAAACGUAUAACGCAGGACGCAAACCACGUCACACAAUAAUUAACCUAUAGGACAGUAGCUACGUCGGCCUCACAUAGAACAAGGACAUUCCUUAAACCCCCAAAUUCGCACGGGUAAACAAUAAUAAUAAGAAACAUGUACAUCUUAAGAACUCAAUUAAAAAAGACAUUCGGACUUUCUAAUAAUUGUACCGCUAGAAAAUAUACCCACCUUUAUACUUUAAACGCCAUUUUUAUAAGAACUUAUCAACCGUCUUAUUUAGUUGCCCAAACUUUAAAUACUUUCGCUGUCUUAAGCAC
rnacentral:rRNA from 1 species